CCACCUAGCCCACCAAGCACCCACAUCCCUCACGCCCUUCUUCCUCACCUCACAGUCCCAACCCUAGCCGCGCCUACCCCUGCGCGCCGCCCUUCCCGGUGGCCGCUUCUCCCGCGCGCCUCCACAUCUCGCGCGUGCAGCCGCCUUGGCGCGCGCCACCGUUCGCACUGCGCCGCCCUCGCGCGCAGCGCCGCCGCCAGGGCCUCGCCGCGGCCGCCGCCUUCGCAAGCCGCUGCCGCCGGCGUGAGCCCGCGCGGCCACUGCCGCGCCAAGCCCCCCACGCCGUGGCCACCAGGGGGUCCAGCGCCGCCGCCGGGAUCUAUGCCGCGCUUGCCCGCACGCGUCCGAGCAACCUCGUGUGCUUGCUGAUGCGGAACUUGCUCCACUGUAGGCCAUCCUCGUCGCUCAGGGUUUGGGCCAUGGAAGCUGCUGCUGGACUACGGGGAUCGCCAACGACUGCUCAAGCAGUGAAGCUGCUAGAUACUUUCCUGAAGACCUGCAAACUUGUUUCAGAUUUGAGAAGUAAACAGAACGAAACAUAAAUGAGGGCAGCUUGGUGAGAUGUCCCUUGGUGGCUAUCGUUUUUUUGUGGCAUCAGGAACAUAUUGUUUUAUGGGGCGCCCCCUCCCUCCCUAGGUUUCGAUCCCCAUGUCAUACCCUCCGGAUCCAAUCCGGGGCGCGGCUGGCGGUGCACGAAGGCGAGGACGACAGCGUGCGAAGGCGGUGCUGCUGCCGGCUCCGUGGGCGAUGUCGACAACCGCGAGAUCGGCUUGCUCUGCCUCUUCUUGGCGUCGGCAGCCUGCUCCACCUCUUAAGGUCCUUUUGCUUGUGAUAUAUAACUAUUGUAAUGUAGGUCCUUUUGCUUGUUAUCUGCUACUUGCUGUCUUGCCUCCAAGAUAUAUAAGAGAGCUGCAAGCAUAAAUGCUGCACUUGGAAUCAUGACUGAGGAUGACUGGGGUUGCAUGUGUAUGAUGAUUGGCUUGCUUCAAGCAACUACAGUUGUGCAUGUGAUGCCGACGGAACUGGACAUGCUAUGCUGCACGUACUAUAUGGUCAAGCAAUGAAGCACGAUGAAGGGAAAGGACCAGAUGUACCAAGGAACCAACAGUCAGAACAGAUCAGUUGAGGAUCCGAUGCAUCCAGUAACAAGCAGUUAGAAGAGAUAGGAAAUUUGAAGAAGGCAACAGAGGAGAUUGAUGGUUUUGGUCUAUCUAUAACUCCUGUUCUUUACCAUGAUUAAAUGGCUGUAAUCUCUUAUUUGGGUGUAAUUUGUACCUUACAUGUUCAGGAUGAUGUGUAAAUGUUUUGAUGGUGAUUAAAAAUGGUUUGUGCCAAUGAAAAUAGGCCUGCAAAAAGUUAAGUUUUA